UCCUCCUACAAAGGCAUGUCUGUGGUUCUCUAUCUUUGGACACGUAAGAACUGGAGGCAAAGAAAUGUGGACCUGGAGAAGUCUGGGACGAGUUGUUUCCUGCAGGCUCAAGAUCAACCAUCCCACAUAG